GAGGUGCAUAAAGUCCUUGAUCUCAUGGAAAUUAUAUUCUGGCAGAGACAUGGACAGUGAUUGAGGAAACAAGUACUUAUAUAAUGGAAUUUCAGGUAAUAGGACUCUUUUAAAGGAAAACAAUACAAGGAAUGAGGUUGAUGAAUGGCAUGCUGGCUUUAGGGAGGUAGUCAGAGAUACUUCUCUGAAGAGGUAAUAUUAGGCCAAGAAAUGAAUGAAAUGAGUGAUGAGUCAUUGAAAAGUUUGGGAGAAGAGUUGCAGGUAGAGGGAACCACAAAUACAAGGGCUCUGACAUGGGAAUGAAUCUAGCGUGUCUGUAAGCACCAAGGUCAAUACAGUGGAACAGAGCCAGUGAGGCAGAAUGUGGGAGGGGAGUCUAGAGAGAUAGAUAGAGGUAAGAUCACGAUAGCCAAGGCAAAGAGUCUGGAUUGCAUUCACUGUGUGAUACAGAAUCAUUGGGGUUUUAUGAAAAAAGAAGUGACAUGAUCCAGUUUAUGUGUACCUUGACCAAGCUCACUCUGGCUGCUGUGUGAAGAAUCGACUUUGGGGACAAGAUUAGAAGAAAGGAGAUCUGUUAGUGUGUUUCACAGGUCCAGCUUAGAAAUCUUGGUGGCCAUACAGGUGGUCAGAAGAGUCAAAAUUUUGAUAUAUCUUAAAGGAAUAGCCAACAGGACUUACUGAUGAGUUGGAUGUAAGGACGAUGGAAAGAAAGCAAGGACAGCUGCUUAGUUGUUGUUGUUGUUGUUUUUUUAAUUGAGCAGCUAAGUACAAAGCAGUACCUUUUACCAAAAGAGUAAGGAAUGAGUCUGAGGAGGGAAAUCAUGGAUUCUAGUUUGCAUUCUAAUGUUUGAGAUGUUUAUUCAUCAUCCAUGUGGAUAUGUCAACUAUGCAGAUGAAUGUGAAUCUGGAUUUCCAGGGAGACAUCAGAACUAGAUAUAAAUUUAGAAGUCACCAGCAAAGAGUUGGUAUUUAAAGCCAAGAGGCCAUAUGAGGUCAUCUUGAGAAUGAGUUGUGGCUAUGGGAAAGAAGAACGUUAAGGUCAAAAUCCUUGAAUGAAUCAACAUUAAAGAUUGGGAAAAGACCAAAGAAUUGGAUGGGCCAAUGAUGCUGGAGGAAAACCAUGGAAGUGUAGGGACUGAAAAGCUAAGAUUUAAAAAAAAAAUGCUUUAAGAAGAAAUACCCUGACCAAGUAUACCAAAUGACACUGAGAAUUCAAAGACAAUGCAGUCUAAGAUGGGAACUGGGUUGAAGGAGAGGAAAAUGAUGGGGUUUCACAAGAGCUGUUUCAGUGGAGCAGUAGUGAGAUGGGGAAACUGAGGAUGAGGGACAUUCCACGUACUUUGCCCAGGACCACAGACCUAGUCUGCGUGUUGGCUGUGGCUCAACUGGCCUUGACCAUUUUAGGACCCAGGCUGCAGAGGCAACACCUGGAGAAUGUUCUUCCCAUCAUGGGAGGCAGCAGCUCAAGAAAGAGAUGCUUCCGUGAGCUGGCCAUGGAGAGAUGCCGUCUUGGCAGGGGAGGCUUGAGUUGGUCUUACUCUAAUGUUUCAGGGCUUCUGUGCCUUGCACAUAAAAGCAGGAAUAGAGUGGCUCUGUUCCAGGCACUUUAAAUCUAUUAAUAUUUGACAAUGGCACCCAAGAUUAAUUUACAAUCAUCUCCCUUAUUUGACUGAAGCACAGAAAAGUUAAGCAAUUUGCCUCAGGUUACCCAGCUAGUUGGUACAGAGUUGGAGCUCAUAGCCAGGGUGUCUGGCUUCCAAGUCUGCAUUCAAAACCACGGUGCUAUUCUGGAAUCAGACCAAAUGACACUCAGCAGACAUGUGCGGGAAUGCUUCCAGAGAGGGAAAGAAUGGAAAUGGGAGGUAGGGCUGUGCCUCCUGUUAGGGAGAGAGGGGGUGGUGGAGAGAGAGAUAGCAGCAUGGCAGAUCUGAAGGAAAGAGACGAGAAAGCGUUAACCUCAGUCAAAUUAGGUUAGUGGGUACUCGGGUGUCAUCAUUUGCUUUUUGAGUAUAUGUUUUUUAAUUAAUAAAGUAAAAAAAAAAAUGGGUAUAUUGUGAGAUGAAGUAAGUCUCCGAGGACUUGCUUACGAUCUGGUCUG